GGACAGGAGAACAGGAACACAGAUGGGAACCAGGAUCUCAGGGACAGGUGCCAGGAACAGGAACCAGACCUCAGGAACUUCGGUGACAGGAUGUCUGAGAUGACCACUGCCAUCCAUGUCCAAGCUUCUCUGCUAAGAAGGACACCAACCAUAUUCCAAUGGGAGAGGCAAGCUUCACCAAAUCUCAGGGAGGUCACUGCAUUUGUCAAGGCUGGGCAAGGCCUCAAACUGAAGAUUUUAGGGAUGAAUUUGAAAGCAUUUCUGUCCCAUUGAAGUAGAAUAAAGUAAUGAGGUUGCUUGCUGGCCUUCUCUCCCUGUCAGAAGGAGAUUAAUAUAGAAGCUGCCUCCUCCAGUCUUACUAAUAAAUAUUCACUGAGCCAUUCUACAGAGAGAUUUGAUCCUGAUUCUGGAGACAUGCAUGCAGCCUCGCUGUGAACCACGGGGAUUCAGGUCAGCAAAAGUGCUUUUGCCUUUCUCCACAAAUCUGAGAAGCACAUGACAGGAGAAUUAAUCCUAAAAAGG